GGUUAAGCGACUAAGCGUACACGGUGGAUGCCCUGGCAGUCAGAGGCGAUGAAGGACGUGCUAAUCUGCGAUAAGCGCCGGUAAGGUGAUAUGAACCGUUAUAACCGGCGAUUUCCGAAUGGGGAAACCCAGUGUGAUUCGUCACACUAUCAUUAACUGAAUCCAUAGGUUAAUGAGGCGAACCGGGGGAACUGAAACAUCUAAGUACCCCGAGGAAAAGAAAUCAACCGAGAUUCCCCCAGUAGCGGCGAGCGAACGGGGAGGAGCCCAGAGCCUGAAUCAGCAUGUGUGUUAGUGGAAGCGUCUGGAAAGGCGCGCGAUACAGGGUGACAGCCCCGUACACAAAAGCGCAUGUGCUGUGAGCUCGAUGAGUAGGGCGGGACACGUGGUAUCCUGUCUGAAUAUGGGGGGACCAUCCUCCAAGGCUAAAUACUCCUGACUGACCGAUAGUGAACCAGUACCGUGAGGGAAAGGCGAAAAGAACCCCGGCGAGGGGAGUGAAAAAGAACCUGAAACCGUGUACGUACAAGCAGUGGGAGCACCCUUCGGGGUGUGACUGCGUACCUUUUGUAUAAUGGGUCAGCGACUUAUAUUCUGUAGCAAGGUUAACCGUAUAGGGGAGCCGGAGGGAAACCGAGUCUUAACCGGGCGUUAAGUUGCAGGGUAUAGACCCGAAACCCGGUGAUCUAGCCAUGGGCAGGUUGAAGGUUGGGUAACACUAACUGGAGGACCGAACCGACUAAUGUUGAAAAAUUAGCGGAUGACCUGUGGCUGGGGGUGAAAGGCCAAUCAAACCGGGAGAUAGCUGGUUCUCCCCGAAAGCUAUUUAGGUAGCGCCUCGUGAAUUCAUCUCCGGGGGUAGAGCACUGUUUCGGCUAGGGGGCCAUCCCGGCUUACCAACCCGAUGCAAACUGCGAAUACCGGAGAAUGUUAUCACGGGAGACACACGGCGGGUGCUAACGUCCGUCGUGAAGAGGGAAACAACCCAGACCGCCAGCUAAGGUCCCAAAGUCAUGGUUAAGUGGGAAACGAUGUGGGAAGGCCCAGACAGCCAGGAUGUUGGCUUAGAAGCAGCCAUCAUUUAAAGAAAGCGUAAUAGCUCACUGGUCGAGUCGGCCUGCGCGGAAGAUGUAACGGGGCUAAACCAUGCACCGAAGCUGCGGCAGCGAACGUAUCACCCAAGACAACUUUACGGAGUUGACGAUUGACGGAGCGAAGCGACGUCAAAGCGUUCAUUAAAGUCGAGUUGGCUUAGGGAUACGUUCGUUGGGUAGGGGAGCGUUCUGUAAGCCUGUGAAGGUGUGUCGUGAGGCAUGCUGGAGGUAUCAGAAGUGCGAAUGCUGACAUAAGUAACGAUAAAGCGGGUGAAAAGCCCGCUCGCCGGAAGACCAAGGGUUCCUGUCCAACGUUAAUCGGGGCAGGGUGAGUCGACCCCUAAGGCGAGGCCGAAAGGCGUAGUCGAUGGGAAACGGGUUAAUAUUCCCGUACUUGGUGUUACUGCGAAGGGGGGACGGAGAAGGCUAUGUUGGCCGGGCGACGGUUGUCCCGGUUUAAGCGUGUAGGUGUGUGUUCCAGGUAAAUCCGGUUCACUUUAACACUGAGGCGUGACGACGAGGCACUACGGUGCUGAAGCAACAAAUGCCCUGCUUCCAGGAAAAGCCUCUAAGCAUCAGGUAACAUCAAAUCGUACCCCAAACCGACACAGGUGGUCAGGUAGAGAAUACCAAGGCGCUUGAGAGAACUCGGGUGAAGGAACUAGGCAAAAUGGUGCCGUAACUUCGGGAGAAGGCACGCUGACACGUAGGUGAAGUGAUUUACUCAUGGAGCUGAAGUCAGUCGAAGAUACCAGCUGGCUGCAACUGUUUAUUAAAAACACAGCACUGUGCAAACACGAAAGUGGACGUAUACGGUGUGACGCCUGCCCGGUGCCGGAAGGUUAAUUGAUGGGGUCAGCGCAAGCGAAGCUCCUGAUCGAAGCCCCGGUAAACGGCGGCCGUAACUAUAACGGUCCUAAGGUAGCGAAAUUCCUUGUCGGGUAAGUUCCGACCUGCACGAAUGGCGUAAUGAUGGCCAGGCUGUCUCCACCCGAGACUCAGUGAAAUUGAACUCGCUGUGAAGAUGCAGUGUACCCGCGGCAAGACGGAAAGACCCCGUGAACCUUUACUAUAGCUUGACACUGAACAUUGAGCCUUGAUGUGUAGGAUAGGUGGGAGGCUUUGAAGUGUGGACGCCAGUCUGCAUGGAGCCGACCUUGAAAUACCACCCUUUAAUGUUUGAUGUUCUAACGUGGACCCGUUAUCCGGGUUGCGGACAGUGUCUGGUGGGUAGUUUGACUGGGGCGGUCUCCUCCUAAAGAGUAACGGAGGAGCACGAAGGUUGGCUAAUCCUGGUCGGACAUCAGGAGGUUAGUGCAAUGGCAUAAGCCAGCUUGACUGCGAGCGUGACGGCGCGAGCAGGUGCGAAAGCAGGUCAUAGUGAUCCGGUGGUUCUGAAUGGAAGGGCCAUCGCUCAACGGAUAAAAGGUACUCCGGGGAUAACAGGCUGAUACCGCCCAAGAGUUCAUAUCGACGGCGGUGUUUGGCACCUCGAUGUCGGCUCAUCACAUCCUGGGGCUGAAGUAGGUCCCAAGGGUAUGGCUGUUCGCCAUUUAAAGUGGUACGCGAGCUGGGUUUAGAACGUCGUGAGACAGUUCGGUCCCUAUCUGCCGUGGGCGCUGGAGAACUGAGGGGGGCUGCUCCUAGUACGAGAGGACCGGAGUGGACGCAUCACUGGUGUUCGGGUUGUCAUGCCAAUGGCACUGCCCGGUAGCUAAAUGCGGAAGAGAUAAGUGCUGAAAGCAUCUAAGCACGAAACUUGCCCCGAGAUGAGUUCUCCCUGAGACUUAGAGUCUCCUGAAGGAACGUUGAAGACGACGACGUUGAUAGGCCGGGUGUGUAAGCGCAGCGAUGCGUUGAGCUAACCGGUACUAAUGAACCGUGAGGCUUAACCUU
rnacentral:rRNA from 1 species